CGUCAUUCACGUCUCUCCAAAUUUCGAUAAUCACUUGACGAACACACCAAUCGAUUCACAUGUUCGUGGCUGUUGAACAAGUGUGUGAACUCAAAAGGUUAAAGACACAUUGAAAUUUUCGCAGAAGAAACAUUUCAUGAAAUUAAUUGGAACACAUCAGUUUUUCAAUUAAUUUGCCUUACUCUAUUAUUAUAGAUAUUUUUUAAUUUCUUAAAAAAAAUACGGAACUCUGGAACAUCUUCUUUGGCGGGAUACGCAAAAUAUUCAAAAGAUUCUAGGAGAAUUUCCCGCCAUAAAUUUUGGGACAGUUCCUAAAACUUUCCAACCGACAGCCGUAAAGUAAAAUAAAGAAGAAGAAGAAGAAAACUUUCCAACCAAAAUUCCAAACUUUCCAUAGUGUCUUUCAGCUAACUUCAUAUUGCUAUUGCACGUGGUGGUGAGUGGUGGUAAAGGUGUCCAAUUUCUUGGUCAGCAGAAUAUUUCUUCAUAGCCUGAAUCACAAACUCCCCAAUAAGGAAGAUAAAACUUCACGUAAAACACUUGAAAGGGAAACUCCAGGAUUGGAAAUAGGUAAUAAGAAAAACAGAUUGCAGAAGUUGAGAUUGUAAAGAAUCUCAGCAAAAACACAACAAGUGGAAUAUAUCUUAUUUGAAUUUGGGUAAGACGAAAAAAAUUGAGAUUUAGAAAGAGAGUACUACUCUGUAAUUGACCUUCAUAUAGGUAUAAAGAAGAAAAAUAUUGUGUUGAUUAUAAGAAAUGGAUGAUAUCGAGAAGUCCAAUCAAGAUUUUACUGAUAUUAUAUUAGACGAGACUGAUACCGAAUUGAAUCUAGGAGAAUUCGAAGUUGUUUUUCUGGAGGCUUCUGGUUCCAAAUGCCCAUUGAUAUUGCACUUGCAGCAAGAAUGGUUGGAUACCAAAAAAAUGGUGGAAAAAGAACCUACAACGUUAUUCCAUGAAAAUCCCGAAGUAGUGGAAAUGCGGGAGAUUGAGCAAGAGAUUAAAAGGCAACUGAGUAUGUUUGAGAAUAGAUUGUCUUAUAGCAGCAAACUACCUUUGAAAAAACCAUCAAUAUUUGAACAUGAAGAUGUUACGAUGAGUAAGCAACUUCCUAUCCUGUUGAGCGAGAAAUACUUCAAAUUUCAAUCCGAUUCGGAUGCUUCCAGUACACGAACUGACAGUACAGACUUGGAAGAGAGAGUUAUACGAUCCACAUCAAUUCCAUCGAAAGCAUCCAAUGGCCAUUAUAUAAAUUUUAGCCUCAACAACUUUAACUACUCAUUUCCGUAUUACAACUGAAUUGUCCCAGCGAUCAAAACUAAAGCAACAACUGUGAUGUUUAGGCGGAGAGAUCCGCGUGAAAUGGAAUCCUACCCGGUCAAUCCACAUCGUCAGCGAAGGAGGAACUCUGGUGCUUCUAGUCCAUUAUGAUUACAAUUUGUGAAAUAUAACAAUCAAGCAUAAAAUAAUUUUAUACAUGGAUCCAAACCCAUCAAUGCAGAGGUGCUCCUGGGCGGUCUACAAUACAAAAGACUUAGCAGAUUCUUCCACUACGGGAUAUAAUACUGUAAAAAUGAUUACCUUGUAAUACAAAUAUCUUGAUACGAUUUAAUAAAUGGUAAGAGCAUCAGCUCGUGAGUGAAAA